ensembl:lncRNA
AAACUGUGUUGCAUAAUUAUAUUUCUGAUCAUCUCUAUAUGAAGAAACACCCACUAUUGUCAAGUUGCAUAAAAAUAGCUUUUGUCAUGAACAUGUGAAUAUGAUUCCUGAGUCACACCUUGUUACACCUUAUAAAAGUAGCUUAGCUUUUGGGUAAAUCAUCUUCCAGAGAGACGGAGCCUGUUGUCAUUAAGGAUAUUGCUGAGAGAGUUACAGGGAACAAAUUAUUGUUUGAGAUUAGAUGGUUAUGACUUUGAAGAAUAAAAUAAGAGGAAGGAGGAGUCACAAUGCGAACUGGAUGCGAGCGGACCCGGAAGACAGAGCAAGAGAGAGAGCAGCGCUCGUCUUCGGCUCCUCUUCCGGAUCCAUAAGAGAUCCCCCAGACCUGAGACGGCUAGCUGCUUCAGCAGCGGCCGGCCCAGAUCCGCAACCCUCUGAAACCCAACUCGCUUCGGCUUCCGAGAAGAGAGCGAGUCACGAGCAGAGUUACCAAAUGUAAGCAUUACAAUGUGCAGCCUCUCGAGGCUGCCAUCACAUGCUCCAUCCUAGACACUUCACAUAGAAAGUGCGCACUACUUCCCGUGCAGAAAUGGGAGCAAGCCGUAACG